AGGGUCGCGGGCUGCUGCAGACUAUCCCAGCUAUCGUCGGGCGGGAGGCGGGGUACACCCUGAACCGGUCGCCAGCCAAUCGCAGUUGGUCAUAAUGGUGGUACUUGACGUGAAAGGUUGGAGAACCACUGACCCAAGUUGACGUUUGGCGAGAUACAGCCACAGGCCGCUAACAAAUGGAUGGCUGGCUGGACUUUGGGACAUCCCUGUCUCAGAUGUUCAACGGCUAAAUGGCUGAUGAAGAGGCAUCAGGAGAAGGUAUUUAAUAAGGUGAAAAGGAAAUGUUCCCAAAGAGGAUUGUUUUGCUUGAGGGGAGUCGAUAAAUCAUUUAGGCACGACUCGAGGACACAGACUGUGGUCAGUAGGCAAAAAAGAGGUCAUCUCGUCAAUAUUUCACCACACAUCAAUGCAGGAAACGCCGGCUGCUCCCCCGUUGUUACGAUCGUAUCCGUAGCCGCGCCGUACCGCCGACACAUUAAGAUGCGUUGCCUGCCUCCCGUUUGCAUCGCGGGCUAAGUGAGGCGUGAAAGUGUACGCAGCGGCAAACGACAAC